UAGGGAAUCUUCGGCAAUGGGGGCAACCCUGACCGAGCAACGCCGCGUGAGUGAAGAAGGUUUUCGGAUCGUAAAGCUCUGUUGUAAGUCAAGAACGGGUGUGAGAGUGGAAAGUUCACACUGUGACGGUAGCUUACCAGAAAGGGACGGCUAACUACGUGCCAGCAGCCGCGGUAAUACGUAGGUCCCGAGCGUUGUCCGGAUUUAUUGGGCGUAAAGCGAGCGCAGGCGGUUUGAUAAGUCUGAAGUUAAAGGCUAUGGCUCAACCAUAGUUCGCUUUGGAAACUGUCAAACUUGAGUGCAGAAGGGGAGAGUGGAAUUCCAUGUGUAGCGGUGAAAUGCGUAGAUAUAUGGAGGAACACCGGUGGCGAAAGCGGCUCUCUGGUCUGUAACUGACGCUGAGGCUCGAAAGCGUGGGGAGCGAACAGG
rnacentral:rRNA from 1 species